AUUAAUGAUCAAGUUCUAUUCAAGUCCCAAUUUCUUCACAUAAACACCAUUCAACAUUGUCAUUACAUCCAAAAUCCAGCAUUUCAAAGAAACAUUUCAAAAUUUUCAAAUUUCUAUUGCAUCCUAAGAAAAAUUAAUGAUCAAGUUCUAUUCAAGUCCCAAUUUCUUCACAUAAACACCAUUCAACAU